rnacentral:misc_RNA from 1 species
AACGCAUCUUGCGCUCCUUGGUAUUCCGAGGAGCAUGCCUGUUUGAGUGUCAUUAAAUUCUCAACUUUCCUUUGAUUUCUUCAAGGGAGAGCUUGGAUUGUGGAGGUUCUGCUGGCUGCAAAGUCGGCUCCUCUGAAAUGCAUUGGCAAAGGCGUGUGCAUGAAAAUGGCCUUUCGGUGUGAUAAUGAUCACCGUGGCUGGAUUGCUCUGAAUGCCUGUGCCUAUCCUUCUCUCCAUUCACUUGGAAAGAAAACCCACUUGACAUUUUGACCUCAAAUCAGGUAGGAUUACCCGCUGAACUUAA